rnacentral:rRNA from 1 species
AGUGAACGCUGGCGGUAGGCCUAACACAUGCAAGUCGAACGGCAGCACAGUAAGAGCUUGCUCUUACGGGUGGCGAGUGGCGGACGGGUGCGGAAUGCAUCGGAAUCUACUUUUUCGUGGGGGAUAACGUAGGGAAACUUACGCUAAUACCGCAUACGACCUACGGGUGAAAGCAGGGGAUCUUCGGACCUUGCGCGAUUGAAUGAGCCGAUGUCGGAUUAGCUAGUUGGCGGGGUAAAGGCCCACCAAGGCGACGAUCCGUAGCUGGUCUGAGAGGAUGAUCAGCCACACUGGAACUGAGACACGGUCCAGACUCCUACGGGAGGCAGCAGUGGGGAAUAUUGGACAAUGGGCGCAAGCCUGAUCCAGCCAUACCGCGUGGGUGAAGAAGGCCUUCGGGUUGUAAAGCCCUUUUGUUGGGAAAGAAAAGCAGCAGGUUAAUACCCCGCUGUUCUGACGGUACCCAAAGAAUAAGCACCGGCUAACUUCGUG